rnacentral:lncRNA from 1 species
GCCACAGCUUCAUGCCAGCUCGGCACAGCCUCUUGUCUCCGGGCCUCCAAAAUGGAGCCCCUGCGUGUGACGUGCCCAAGGUGCCCAGCCCUGGGUGCUGCAGGAGGUCGGGGAUCCGAAACACCCCUAAAUUGGCUGUACCCAGCUCCUCUCUCCCAGAACUUGGCCCCCAAACCACCUCACAGCCUAAGAUUGAGCCGGCUGAAGCUGGUGCCAAGGAGGGCCGAGGCCCCUGGAGAUGGAGGCUGGGAGGGGAGCACAGCGGCCCCUGGGACAGCGCAGGAGGAGGCCUCAGCACCCGGCGUGUCCCGGGUACAGCAGAGACAUGGAAAUGUGCUUCUGACAUCUCUCCUUGCCGAUUCCAGAGAAACAGCCUGAACUGCCACCCUUCCCGGGCACCUUGGACAUCAUUUAUCAAGAAAAAGUGCAGCCCUGGAACAGGAAGGCCCAGCAGAAGAAGGAGCCUUCGUUGAGGUGAGGCUGGAGGCUCCGGGAGGGGGGGAGGAGGCUGCCAGGAGCCCCCCACUUCUCAGGGCUGGCCCCUCUGUUUGGGGUCUGCAGCCACGGGCGCUGCAUGGAGGGGUACAAGAUGGGGCCCCAAAGAUGUCGUGCAGGUGGAUGAAUUCUUUUGGCUUUGUCCUUUCGGCAGGCUGCCGGUGAUGCCCAAGCUGCCUCCUGCCAUAACGGAGCAUUUGCGCAACCAGCUGCAGAAAGGAACUGCGCCCAAAACAGAGCCCAGGAGCAAAUCCAAACAAGAGCCCAAAACAGCACCCAAAGAGCAGGUGCAAGACCAAGGCCGGGCAAAGGCUGAAAAAUCUGGAAAACAUCAGAAGAGCAAGGGCCAAAAAGCAGCAAAAGCCCCUCCUGAAGUCAGGACAGUACCCAUCCUGGAAGCCCUGCCUGUGACGGAGCGAGUGAAGCGCCCCAAAUCUCAGAAAGCCCCAGGCCUGCUAGAAACACCCAUCGUGUCCAUACUGUCCCUGUCGAGCUCGGAGGGCAGCAUGAUUCAGGAGCCCAGCGACAACAGCGGCAGAUUCCAGCGAGGGAGCUCCAGCUCCCAAAGACUGCCAAAGUUACGGGCUGGGAGGUUCUGGUCCGUGCUUCCAGACCGCCCAAAGAUGGAGGCAUCCAAUUGCAAGCCCUCUACUUCUGGCACACAGAAGGACCAGGGGGCCAGCUCUGCGCAAUUUCAAAAACCAAAGCUCCUACCCAGGCCCUCUACGCCGUUGCCUGUAGGUAAGAAAGCCAGC